rnacentral:rRNA from 1 species
UGCGAAGGAUCCAAGCGUUAUCCGGAUUUAUUGGGUUUAAAGGGUGCGUAGGUGGCCCUGUAAGUCAGUGGUGAAAUAUCUCAGCUUAACUGAGAGGGUGCCAUUGAUACUGCAGGGCUUGAGUACAGAUGAGGUAGGCGGAAUUGACGGUGUAGCGGUGAAAUGCAUAGAUAUCGUCAAGAACACCGAUAGCGAAGGCAGCUUACCAAGCUGUAACUGACACUGAGGCACGAAAGUGUGGGGAUCAAACAGG